AAUUCGCCCUUACGGCUCAGUAACACGUAGUCAACAUGCCCAGGGGACGUGGAUAACCUCGGGAAACUGAGGAUAAACCGCGAUAGGCCAUAAUGUCUGGAAUGAUUUAUGGCUCAAAUCUACAUGGCCCCUGGAUUGGACUGCGGCCGAUCAGGCUGUUGGUGAGGUAAUGGCCCACCAAACCUAAAACCGGUACGGGCUCUGAGAGGAGAAGCCCGGAGAUGGGCACUGAGACAAGGGCCCAGGCCCUAUGGGGCGCAGCAGGCGCGAAACCUCUGCAAUAAGCGAAAGCUUGACAGGGUUAUUCUGAGUGAUUUCCGCUAAGGAAGUCUUUUGGCACCUCCAAAAAUGGUGCAGAAUAAGGGGUGGGCAAGCCUGGUGUCAGCCGCCGCGGUAAUACCAGCACCCCGAGUGGUCGGGACGAUUAUUGGGCCUAAAGCAUCCGUAGCCGGUUCUGCAAGUCUUCCGUUAAAUCCAACUGCUUAACAGUUGGGCUGCGGAGGAUACUAUAGAGCUAGGAGGCGGGAGAGGCAAGCGGUACUUAGUGGGUAGGGGUAAAAUCCGUUGAUCCACUGAAGACCACCAGUGGCGAAGGCGGCUUGCCAGAACGCGCUCGACGGUGAGGGAUGAAAGCUGGGGGAGCAAACCGGAUUAGAUACCCGGGUAGUCCCAGCUGUAAACGAUGCAGACUCGGUGAUGAAUAGGCUUCGUGCCUAUUCAGUGCCGCAGGGAAGCCGUUAAGUCUGCCGCCUGGGGAGUACGGUCGCAAGACUGAAACUUAAAGGAAUUGGC
rnacentral:rRNA from 1 species